AACCUUAUGGACCUGCGGGCGUAUACCUGCGGAAGGAUCAUUACAAGUGACCCCGGUCUAACCACCGGGAUGUUCAUAACCCUUUGUUGUCCGACUCUGUUGCCUCCGGGGCGACCCUGCCUUCGGGCGGGGGCUCCGGGUGGACACUUCAAACUCUUGCGUAACUUUGCAGUCUGAGUAAACUUAAUUAAUAAAUUAAAACUUUUAGCAAUGGAUCU
rnacentral:misc_RNA from 1 species